UACGUAGGGCGCAAGCGUUGUCCGGAAUUAUUGGGCGUAAAGAGCUCGUAGGCGGCUUGGCAAGUCGGAUGUGAAAACUCCAGGCUCAACCUGGAGCCGCCAUUCGAUACUGCUAUGGCUAGAGUCCGGUAGGGGAGUGUGGAAUUCCCGGUGUAGCGGUGAAAUGCGCAGAUAUCGGGAGGAACACCGAUGGCGAAGGCAGCACUCUGGGCCGGUACUGACGCUGAGGAGCGAAAGCGUGGGGAGCGAACAGG
rnacentral:rRNA from 1 species